rnacentral:lncRNA from 10 species
CCCAUUCAUUGGCUUCCUACUGCAUGAGAAUAAAAUCCAAACUCCUUACUAUGGUCUACAAAGACCCCAUAUGAUUUGGCUAUUUCCUGUCUCACAAAACUCAACUAUCUCCCGGCCCCUUCCCCUUUCUCACUACUCUGCAGCCACACUGACCUUCUUUCAAUACUCAAAGGCCCCAUGCUUUUUCCAUUCUCAGGAACUUUACAUAUGCUGUUCUUCUAUUGCCUUCCUCUACAGCCCAGUGCAGUGGUGAGAGGAGGGGCUGGCUGGGCUUCCUGGGUCGAGUAGGGGCUCAGAAAGCUGUGAAACUCCCUUAUUUCCUGCAUCAGGACUUACUUUGGUCCUGGAUGGAUAAUAUUGAAGAUACAUGCUUAAACUAUUCCUAACACCAGGAUUUCUGCAUGUGUUUUCUUCCCCAAGAAAGCCAUAAACAGCGAAAAUUUUCCUGUACGUUUCUCUGUGUCCUCUCUCCCUCUCUCCCCUUCCCCCUCCCCCGAAACUAAAGUAAAAAGAAUGUUAACUGGCCAUUUUUCUGUGACCAGUGGACCUUAUCUAUACUCCCAAUCCCAAUUCCUUGUGAACAUACUUUGUAAAGUCCUGUAAGAUGCUGUCUCCUUUGCCAUGCCGCUGCGAGGUCAUAAAAUAAAUAAAACCUAAGUUGCAAUUCCGGUUUUCCUUAAGAUCUAAGACAUGUCACAAAUGGUUGUCUUUUUUUCUUGCUCUGGUAACAUCUUCCCGCUGCACGUAUUUCCCACCUUAAAGAGUUUAAAAGGCAGUUGUAUAAUCUAACUCUGGCUACCCAUUCGGGAGGGACCCCUUCCACGCUGUGGAAGCUUUGUACUUUCACUCUGCUCAAUAAAGCCUACCGCUUUUUCUCUCUAUCAGUCCUUGUGUCUAUCACUCGCUGCGGUCAGCUGCCACACCAAUUCUUUGGUGUGGCUAGGCAAGAACCUUACGUGUUACAUUUUGGCGAGCCAGCCAGGAGUCUCCAGGAAAGGCAUCUAGAUCGUCACAUGCUUCUUCCCUCCAGGUAAAUUGCAGACGUGAUGCUCAGAAUUAAACUGUCAGGAUGCUGCCAUUCUGCUGCAUGCUCCGGACAGCUGGCCGUUAGGGAGCACUGCAGGCUUGGAAGAGGUGACUUGUCUCCCUGUGUACAGCCCUCUGGGUAGAGCAGCUGUCAUCUAAAUACAGAUGCUGAUCUCCAAAAGAAGUUCCAGUUUGGUUACAGAGAGUUACAGCAUAGUGAAACUUCAAGAACUAGGUUUUUCUGGACCAUCCCAGUGCGCAUGAAUCAGAAGAAAAGAAAAAUGGAAUUUCCAUCUCUUGCAUCAGCACUUGACAGCUGGAGUUAUUGUUGACCAGGCAUCAAGAAAGGAGGGAUAUGCAUCAGAAAUCAUUUUGCCUGAAAUAAGCACAACUCCAUGGAGGACAAUGACACAUUUUCUCUGGUGAUCUUGUAAUUGGGGAUGAUGUAAACAUGAGUCUAAUCUGCAUUUUGUCUAAGAAAUUCUUCAUCAUGAGCAUCUUCCAAUAAAACGUGGUUCCUUACAACAUGAGUUUGCAUGACAACUUCUUACCACUUACUUCAUGUCACACUUAUAUAAUGGAGACUCAUGUCUCAAUGAACGCUUUCCAGAUAAACAGAAGCACUUCUCCAAGAGUAAUAAACACCUG